rnacentral:rRNA from 1 species
UACGGAGGAUGCAAGCGUUAUCCGGAAUGAUUGGGCGUAAAGCGUCCGCAGGUGGCUGUGUAAGUCUGCUGUUAAAGAGUGAGGCUCAACCUCAUAAAGGCAGUGGAAACUACAUGGCUAGAGUGCGUUCGGGGCAGAGGGAAUUCCUGGUGUAGCGGUGAAAUGCGUAGAUAUCAGGAGGAACACCGGUGGCGAAGGCGGGAUCCUGGGCCAGUACUGACGCUGAGGAGCGAAAGCGUGGGGAGCAAACAGG